GGGGCGCGCGUGGCUCCAGGGCAGUGCGCGAGUUCUCGCGAGACUUCGGCGGCACCUGCGGAAGCGGAAGCGGGUCCCGUUCCUUUUUCCGGGCGUCCGUCGCGGCGGCAGCAGCGGGCCAAAAUGAAGUUCAAUCCAUUUGUGACAUCAGACCGAAGCAAGAACCGCAAACGACACUUCAAUGCACCUUCUCACAUUCGAAGAAAAAUAAUGUCCUCCCCACUCUCUAAGGAGUUGCGACAGAAAUACAAUGUCCGCUCUAUGCCCAUUCGAAAGGAUGAUGAAGUCCAGGUUGUUCGGGGUCACUACAAAGGACAGCAGAUCGGCAAGGUGGUCCAGGUGUACAGGAAAAAGUAUGUGAUCUACAUUGAACGUGUUCAACGUGAGAAGGCGAAUGGCACAACUGUCCACGUGGGGAUCCAUCCCAGCAAGGUGGUGAUCACUAGGCUAAAACUGGACAAAGAUCGCAAAAAGAUCCUGGAGCGUAAAGCCAAGUCUCGCCAGGUUGGCAAGGAGAAGGGCAAGUACAAAGAAGAAACAAUCGAAAAGAUGCAAGAAUAGAUGGUUUUCUACUUGAUACCAUUAAAUAACUGCUAAAAAGAAACCUAUUGUUAUGUCUUCUCCUUUGGAAAGUCUUGAUGUGGCGUGUCAGGUACCAACUGUCUUUUCCUGUAGUUGUUUGUCUAAAUUCGGAGAGAUUUUCCUCGAGUUCUAUUUAGCUCUGAUAUUUACUGCCUUGGUUUCAAGCCUGAAGUGGUUUUUGUGCUGGGAAACUUGCCUGUCCUCAGAAAUGCCUUGGAAAUGUGUCUUCCAGUGUUAUCAACACAAUGCUGGUGACAUGUGCUGUUUGCUGCUACCUAUUUUGGCUGAUCGCGAUUCUUGCUCAACUCAACCCUCUCUUUGGGCCGCAGUUAAGCAAUGAAACAAUCUGGUACCUUAAAUUUCACUGGCCUUAAGGAUGUCUGUCCUCUGCUGCAAUUUAUUGACUAGGU